GGAAUAUUGGUCAAUGGAGGCAACUCUGAACCAGCCAUGCCGCGUGCAGGAAGACGGCCCUAUGGGUUGUAAACUGCUUUUAUCUGGGAAUAAACCUUUUUACGUGUAAGAAGCUGAAUGUACCAGAAGAAUAAGGAUCGGCUAACUCCUUGCCAGCAGCCGCGGUAAUACGGAGGAUCCAAGCGUUAUCCGGAUUUAUUGGGUUUAAAGGGUGCGUAGGCGGCCUGUUAAGUCAGAGGUGAAAGACGGUAGCUCAACUAUCGUAGUGCCUUUGAUACUGACGGGCUUGAAUAAACUAGAGGUAGGCGGAAUGAGACAAGUAGCGGUGAAAUGCAUAGAUAUGUCUCAGAACACCGAUUGCGAAGGCAGCUUACUAUGGUUUUAUUGACGCUGAGGCACGAAAGCGUGGGGAUCAAACGGGAUUAGAUACCCCGG
rnacentral:rRNA from 1 species